CAGCUUUCCAUGGUUGAGUGGGUGCAUCACUGAGCAGGAUAAAGCUGGUGAUUAGUACACUAAAGAGAUUUAGCCAGCGAAUUAUCUGACACAGCUAUGGAAGCAUUGCAAGCAGGGCAUGGAAACUGGUAGGAACGUUGAUAUAAAGCCUGUGUCAGCCCGUAAUAUUUCAACAGUGCUUAGAUGAGCCUGCCAGUAGUGUUUAGGUCUCUGUCAGUCCUCUGUGACCCAGUCCUGAUUCUCAGCUCACUGCAAUCAGGAAAGCAACAGGUGGUGCCGGCGCUCAGUGGCAAGCAAAAAGGGGAGAAGAUGGGGAGAGAAAGGACAGAUUGGAUCCUGAAAAAGUGACCGCAAUAACUGUUCCUCUACGAGAACAUGUACUGUAGAAUGAAGAGGCGAGGCCAGGGGGAUGAUCUGGAGGUGCUGGGCCGGGAAAGACUGCCGAUGAGAGCGGCAGAGAAACUAAAGUGUUUCCCCUGUACGACUGGCGAAGCCCAGGUCACCUGUGAUUGGCCCUUUCAAUGAAGAGUGGGAAACUAAAGUACUGCGUCUCAAUGGUCCUUUCGUAAUUUCAUUGCCUUUAUCCAGACUGACCUUAAAGAAUUGGACAAAUUAAAGAAA